GCUUGUCUCAAAGAUUAAGCCAUGCAUGUCUAAGUAUAAACGACUUUAUACUGUGAAACUGCGAAUGGCUCAUUAUAUCAGUUAUAGUUUAUUUGAUGGUCCUUGCUACUUGGAUAACCGUAGUAAUUCUAGAGCUAAUACAUGCUGGUGUGCCUGACUUUUCGGAAGGGCGGUAUUUAUUAGAUAACGAACCAAUAUUCCUCUGGUCUAUUGUGGUGAAUCAUAAUAACUGAUCGAAUCGCAAAGCCUUUGGCUGCGAUAUGUCAUUCAAGUUUCUGCCCCAUCAGCUUUCGAUGGUAGUGUAUUGGACUACCAUGGCUUUUACGGGUAACGGAGAAUUAGGGUUCGAUUCCGGAGAGGGAGCCUGAGAAACGGCUACCACAUCUAAGGAAGGCAGCAGG
rnacentral:rRNA from 1 species